rfam:Naematelia encephala strain 68-887.2 BCR39scaffold_25, whole genome shotgun sequence.
GGUGAGAUAGCCAAGCGGUUACGGCGCUGUGUUAAGGUGAUGUGAAAUCAUAACUUCCGCAGUCCUUCGGGGCGUGGGUUCGAAUCCCACUCUCAUCA